rnacentral:misc_RNA from 1 species
AUAUUUUUUAAUUUGGCGGCAAAAUGGAGAAAGAGGGUGAGAGUAUCACAGUGUUCAUUAGAGUCCGUCCUGUUAGUUCAUAUGAUACCGAACCAGUACCAGCCACUAGCAGCUGUAUCAGUGUGACCACACCCACCACUAUAACCAUCAACACUAAACCAGACCCUAAACUAUUCACCUUUGAUCAUGUGGCGGAACACAACACUACACAGGAGGGCGUGUUCUCAUUAAUUGGUAGACCAAUCAUUGAUGGGUGUAUGCAGGGAUACAAUGGAACUAUAUUUGCAUAUGGUCAGACUGGUUCAGGGAAGACGUUCACAAUGAUAGGUCCCUCUGAUGAAGGUAGUGAUGGAUACAUUCAUGAGUACAGAGGAGUCAUCCCAAGGAGCUUUGAAUAUUUAUUUAGUUUAAUAAACAGAGAGAGACAAAAAUUUGGUGAUAUGGCCCAGUUCUUGUGUAAGUGUUCAUUUAUUGAAAUAUACAAUGAACAGGUUUAUGAUCUACUGGACCAAUCAAACCAAGGACUACAUUUGAGGGAGAGCAUCAAAAGAGGUGUGUAUGUUGACGGGAUUGUUGAAGAAAUAGUCACCACGGCAACCGAGACAUACCAGGUAUUACUGAGGGGGUAUACUAACAGACGUGUUGCUGGUACUUCAAUGAACAGAGAGAGCAGUAGGAGCCAUGCAGUCUUCAUGUUAUCAGUGGAAUCUAAACUGAAAGAGGGUGAUGAUGGAGUGUGUAAGAUCAGGAGCUCAAAAUUGAAUUUAAUUGAUCUGGCAGGAUCAGAGAGACAGAGGGACACUCUUACUGAUGGAAUAAGACUAAAAGAGGCUGGUAGUAUCAACAAGUCCCUCUCAGUGUUAGGUAAUGUGAUAACCUCACUGGUGGAUAUCAGUAAUGGGAAGCAGAGACACAUUCACUAUAGGGACUCUAAACUAACCUUCCUACUGAGGGAUUCAUUAGGAGGUAAUGCUAAGACUACACUGAUAGCUAAUGUACACCCACUGAGCAGGUGUUUUGGUGAGACGCUGUCAACUUUACAAUUUGCCAGAAGAACAAAGAUGAUUAAAAAUAAAGUUGUUGUUAAUGAGGAUAUGUCUGGUAAUGUCACUCAAUUACAAAAUGAAAUUAAAAAAUUGAAACAAUUACUAUCGACCAAUCAGAAUGCAGUGGGUGGGGCUGUUGGGUGUGGUCAAGACAAUUCUAAAGAAAUGUUAUUAACAUGUAUCAGGGACAAAGAGAGACUGGAGGAAGAGAAAAUGUUUUUAUUAGAAAAAGUUGACAAGUUACAAGAAUUGAAUAAAAGACGUGAGAAAUCGUUACAGUCCAUUAAGAUGAUUCUCAAGUUAAGAGAUUCUCAUAUUUCUAAAUUAGAGUCAAAGACUCUGCCCACAACUGAUGACAUCAUAAAACGACAACAAGAAGAAAUCAAAGAAUUGAAUCGCUGUAUUGAUCACAAUCCAAUGGUCACUAAAUUUGCGGCUGAAAAUAUUGAACUAAGAGGUGAGGUUAAGCGGCUCCAGUCCCUAUCAGUUGGUGAUGGGUUGUGGGCGGAGCUAACUCAGUUGAAGACGUACACUCGACAGUUGGAGAAGCAGUUGAGUGGGCGGGUCAAAGAAGAGGCUGGGCCUUCUGUUGCCAUGGAAACCAGUAAACUCAAUUGUGAAAUCGAGAAGUUGCAUAAGCGCUGCCAAAAACUGCAGACUGAAGUUACCAUGGCUCAGGAUCAGUUGAAUUUGGAAAGAGAAGAGAACAAAGUUAAAAUAUUUUCACUUGAAACUUCAUUGAAGACAUCAAAUAAGAAAGUUAAAGAUUUACAAUGCACUAUUGAUUCAUUGAAAGUGUCUCAUUCAAUCGAAAGGGAACAGGCCAACACUACAAUGAAGACUAUACAAGCUGUGACCACACCCCUCUUAGCAAGAUCAAAAUCAGUCACUAGUACUCCAGUAUCAAUUAGAGGAGUGGGUGGGGUCAAGGCUGUGGCAAUGGGCGGAGUCAAGCGUCAGUUCUUCUCACCUUUACUGCCAAUAAAGAGGAACCUAGCAGAGGAACUGAUUGAGGAGGAGGGAACGGGACUAGGGAAAGGGGUGGAGCCUGUAGAACAAGAAGAAGUGGAGUCAGCCAAGAAAGGGGCAGAGCCAGAGGAGGAGAAAGGGGCGGAGUCAUCUGGUAAUGAUAUUCAUGAGCUAUUGGAGACGAUACAGAAACUACAAACUAGCAAUAAUGAAUUAAUUAAGAAACUGGAGUCCAGUGAGGUUAAUGUCACUUCAUUGAAAUCAGAUAACGAGUUGUUGGGUAUGAAGUUAACAGAAAUGGAGUCAUUUUAUAAACAAGAACACCAACAACUGGAACAACAAAUUAACGAAUUACAAACUAACAUACAAGAAAUGACAUCAAGAAACACAAUGUUGGGUGAGGAGGUGGUUGAUCUGAGGGUGUGUCUUGGUUCGGCUGAUAAAGAACUAAUUGAAGUGAAGAAAGAAAAAGAGAAAAUUGAAACUGAAAAUAAACAAACAAUGGAAAAAGUAAGUGAUUUGGAGCAUCAGUUGAUAACUAAAUCAAGUGAAGCAGAUACUGUCAUACAACAACUGACAACAAUUGAAAAUGAACUGGAGACACUAAAAGAUGAGUUGCUCUAUAAAGAUGAUCUGUUGACUGGAAAAGAUAAAGAAACACUGGAACUAAAUCAGACAAUAAAGUCACUCCAGACCAACCUUCAGGAAUUGGAGGAUGUGGUUGCUAUGGAGACGGAUAAAUCUGAUAGGUUGAUGAGGGAGAGGGCGGGGUCAGAGGAUGAGCUGACACUAGUGAUGAAUGAGAGGGCAGGACUAAUGAAAGAACUGACUUCAUUGAAAGAAGAAUAUGAAAGCAAGGUUAAUCUCUUGUCUGAUGAGUUACAGUCAUUAAGUUCCAGUAGUUCAUUAUUACAGUCCCAGUGUUCAGAUCAAUUAUCAAUUAUUAAUGAAUUAACACAGUCAGUCUCCUCACUAAAGGACUCUAAUAAUACCAACGGGGCACUCCUUGAUAAUAUGAGACUGGAGCUUGAGGAAAAGGGGAGGAGCCUAUCUGUUGCUAUGACAACCAACGAAGAACUGGUCAAUAAAGUUGAUAGUUUAUUAAUUGACAUUUCAUCUAAUAAAGAGAAACAUAAUAAAGAAAUACAAGCUAAGGAUAUUCAGUGUGAAAUUCUUGUUGAAGAAGUUGAUUAUUUAAAUAAAUUAUUAACUGAGUUACAAACUAAACUGGAGACAGCAGAGAAAGAGAGUGAAGAGAAGACACAAUCCAAAGCAGCAAUGGAAGAACAGUUAUUAGUGAAGGAGACUGAGAUACAGCAGUUGAAGGAUCAUCAAACUGAAAAGGAACAGCUACUGGAGCAAGUAAGGUCCAUCACUGAUGAUGACGAUAUUUUUGGAUUUUUUGAUACUCAAACUGAACGACUGAUGGGGCUGGAAUCAGACAAGAAUCAAUUGAAUUUGAUAAUUAACGAGCUACAAGAAAUAAUUGAUAAUAAUAAUGAAAAGAUUAGAGAACAAGAAGUUGAAUUAUCAUAUUAUUCUGAGUUAAAGAGAGAUCACGAGUUAUUGAAGACUCAGCAGCUGUCACUGGAAUAUAAACUGGAGACAUACCAAACUGAACACAUUAACAGUGAAGGAGAGUUAUUAAAGAGAUUGGAGUCACUGAAAGAAGACAAUGAGACAUUACAAGAAAGAAUUAAUGCACUAACAAUGGAGAAUGAUACCAUCAGCAUAAGACUUGAAGAAACUACACUGGAGUGAGUGUAUGGGAUUGACUAGUUGUAAAGGAAGACUAUCAUUAUCAGAAGAACAGCUGAACAGGUUACAGGAACAAGAAGAAUU